ensembl:snoRNA SNORD46 small nucleolar RNA SNORD46
GCUGUGGGUGAUGAACGUGUGACCUUAGGUUUGUCUUUUUUUGGACCGUUUUGGUCCAAAACCUUGGGCUUACCUAUGAAAGGACUUGUCAUAGUUACUCUGACACUGU